CAAGACGUAGCUUUAACAAAAGCACUCAGCUUACGCCUGAAAGAUGCCUGCUUAAACCAGGUCGUCUUGA
rnacentral:tRNA from 2 species